GGUACUUUGACCGUGCAAAGGUAGCAUAAUCAUUAGUUUUUUAAUUGAAAGCUGGAAUGAAAGGUUGGAUGAGAAAAUAGCUGUCUCUAUUUAAAUUAAUUAGAACUUUAUUUUUAAGUUAAAAAGCUUAAAUUUUGUUAGAAGACGAGAAGACCCUAUAGAGUUUUAUUUAUUUUCUUAAUUUAAUUUUUAGUAUUAAAUAUUUUUAUUAUAAAAAUAAAUUUGGUUGGGGUGAUUGAGAAAUUUACUAAACUUUUUUUAAAUUUUUACAUUGAUUUAUGAGUUUUUGAUCCUUAUAUAAAGAUUAAAAGAUAAAAUUACCUUAGGGAUAACAGCGUAAUUUUUUUAAAGAGUUCUAAUCGAAAAAAAAGAUUGCGACCUCGAUGUUGGAUUAAAAUAAAAUUCUGGUGUAGAAGCUAGAG
rnacentral:rRNA from 1 species